rnacentral:rRNA from 1 species
AGCGAACGCUGGCGGCAUGCUUAACACAUGCAAGUCGCACGAAGGUUUCGGCCUUAGUGGCGGACGGGUGAGUAACGCGUAGGAAUCUAUCCAUGGGUGGGGGGAUAACUCUGGGAAACUGGAGCUAAUACCGCAUGAUACCUGAGGGUCAAAGGCGCAAGUCGCCUGUGGAGGGAGCCUGCGUUUGAUUAGCUUGUUGGUGGGGUAAUGGCCUACCAAGGCGAUAAU